AGAAAAGAAAAAAGAAAAGAAAAGAAAAGAAAAGAAAAGAAAAGAAAGAAAUAACAAGCGGAAGAGAAAAAGUCUCUAACGAUAAUUACCAAAGAAGAAGUUACCCCCGAAACGCGAUUACGGAUUUCUUUGAAAUUUCGACGAAAGAAAAAAGAAAAAAAGAAGAAAGAAAGAGAGAGAAAAAUGAAGGUGGUACAAUCGAAUCGCGUUGCUUUUCCUUCAACCCCCGCAUCGAUCGAAACCAAGUUUUUUUAACGAUGUUAUCAUUUGCCGAGCCGAAGGAAGAGGAUCGAAGAAAAGUGAGUUCUGUGAUCGAAACUAAUUUUCCUGGUGUAGGACGGGAGAGCCGAAGACGGGAGGGGGUUUAAAUUCGGACGAAGAGAAGAGAUGCUUACGUAAAGUGCAUUCAUCCUCCGUAAUGUUCUCUGUGAACAUCGAAAUAAUCUAUCUCUCCCUCUCUCUUUCUCUCUCUCUCUCUCUCUUUCUCCCUGUUCGAAGACUUCUUUGAGAAAUAAGAAUCGUCACUGUCUACUGUUACAUCGUGCCGAUAAGUUCUUCUGUUACGACAACUGAAAGUUUCAUUGAAAUAUCUAACGAACAAACACGGAGAUUUGUAUGACGUGUAUAAAACCAUCGGACCGACCUCGAUAAUUGCGAUGACUACCAUUCUGUCCUGGAUAUACAUAUGUCGUCGAGUACUACGGUCGUCGUACCGAAAGAAAACUCGCCUAUACGAGAUGAGCAGGACAUAUCAACAUUACGUAAAGCAGAUAAACGAGGAGAUAUACGGCGAUGGUGAUGUACUAAACGCUAUUCCUUCGAGCUUUCUGAAAGGAAAAAAACGGGACAUUGAAACGCCAGGAUGAAAUCGAUCGAUCGAUCGAUCGAUUAAUCGAUCUAGAAAGACGCAGCCAACGAUCUUCGAUCAUGAAGAAGGCGCAUCAACAAAAAGUGAGAUCCGUCCUGUCCGAACCGCAACGUGCCUUACUUUCAACCAACAUCAACCGGUCACGAGACGAUUCACUUUGCGGAGAUGAAACAUGCAGCCUGUUUAAUUAUGAUUUUAUAUAUAUAUAUAUAUAUAAUUUUUUUUUUUUUUUUAUAAAAUACACCGAGAUAAUACAUCAUCGUAAUAUUGGAGAACGAAAAAGAAAAAUUAAAGAGAAGGAGAGAGUUUAAAUGGCAACGAAAACAAGAAAGAAAUAUGAUUAUUGGAACGUUGCUGGAUCGUUUUUUUUUCUGUUCGAAUACCAUAAGAGGGAAGAUUUUAAUCGCACGACCAGACACUAUCGUUUGUACAUAAGGGAAUUGAUUCAACAGGAGUAUAUGUACAUCUCGAUCUCGAUCUUGAUCUCGAUCUCGAUAACAACGUCUAACGAUUCAUUCGAUUAGUCGAGGUUAAUUAUAUCGAUAGUUUUUUCUCUGAUUGGUAUUUUAACGAGACAAUUUUAAUUAAUUCUAUUAUUCUGCGACAAGUAUACAUUAUCAGUUCGCCAUACCACCCCUUCGAUAUAUGAUCUUUCUCGUGAAAGUAAUCAUUUAUCGUAGGACACUCGUUCGAGAUUGUUUUCUUUCUUUUUUUCUUUUCUUUCCUUCCUUUUCAACGUUAGAAAAUUUCUUCGAAAGCAUAAGAUAUUAUUUGUUGUUUGAUGUUAUAUAACGAAGUUGAAUGUUAAAAAUUUUAUGUUUAUUUCGAUGUUUAAAUUCAAUCGAAGAUAAAUUCGAAUAAUUCGAUCAUGUCAAAACGUGAAAAUUUGCGUCGAAGUCUUUUGUAUAGAAAGAAAGAAAGAAAGAAAGAAAAAAGAAAGAGGAUUCAUAAAGCAUGCACAUUACAUCGUCAAUUGAUUUGUGUUAAGUAAUUAUAAAGUUCUUUCUCUCUUUCUCGUUCUGUCUCUUUCGAAUCGAUGAAACUCGGCUGAUUUAUUAUUUAAAUUGACGGAUAAAGCAGGCAAGAUAAAAAAUUACAAAAAGAAUUGGAAAUUGAAAGAAGAAAGAUAUAUGUAUUCUUUAAUGGUGUAGAUUCGAGAGAUUAUUUUAAAAGUUUACAUAAUGUGUGUGUGUAUAUAUAUAUGUAUAUAUACAUACAUAGAUACAUACACACAUAUAAACGUAUUUACUUGACAUUUAUACAUCUUUCUGCAAAGUGUCCCUUGAUAGAAGUAACACGUGCUUUCAAUUUUAGCCUUAUUACGUUAUAAGAUAGUCUAAUUAUAUAGAAUAGUAUAUAGGAUAUAUGUUGAGAGACUUUAUAGAAAAAGAAAAAGAUAAA